UACGUAGGCAGCGAGCGUUGUUCGGAGUUACUGGGCGUAAAGGGUGCGUAGGCGGUUGUUUAAGUUUGGUGUGAAAUCUCCCGGCUCAACUGGGAGGGUGCGCCGAAUACUGAAUGACUAGAGUGCGGGAGAGGAUAGUGGAAUUCCUGGUGUAGCGGUGAAAUGCGUAGAUAUCAGGAGGAACACCGGUGGCGAAGGCGGCCCCCUGGGCAGUAACUGACACUGAGGCGCGACAGCGUGGGGAGCAAACAGG
rnacentral:rRNA from 1 species